CCUACGGGAGACUGCAGUGAGGAAUAUUGGUCAAUGGACGAGAGUCUGAACCAGCCAAGUAGCGUGAAGGAUGACUGCCCUAUGGGUUGUAAACUUCUUUUAUAUGGGAAUAAAAUGUUCCACGUGUGGGAUUUUGUAUGUACCAUAUGAAUAAUGAUCGGCUAACUCCGUGCCAGCAGCCGCGGUAAUACGGAGGAUCCGAGCGUUAUCCGGAUUUAUUGGGUUUAAAGGGAGCGUAGGUGGAUUGUUAAGUCAGUUGUGAAAGUUUGCGGCUCAACCGUAAAAUUGCAGUUGAAACUGGCAGUCUUGAGUACAGUAGAGGUGAGCGGAAUUCGUGGUGUAGCGGUGAAAUGCUUAGAUAUCACGAAGAACUCCGAUUGCGAAGGCAGUUCACUGGACUGCAACUGACACUGAGGCUCGAAAGUGUGGGUAUCAAACAGGAUUAGAUACCCGAGUAGUC
rnacentral:rRNA from 1 species